GUGAGGAAUAUUGGUCAAUGGGCGGGAGCCUGAACCAGCCAAGUCGCGUGAAGGAAGAAGGAUCUAUGGUUCGUAAACUUCUUUUGCAGGGGAAUAAAGUGCAGGACGUGUCCUGUUUUGUAUGUACCCUGAGAAUAAGGAUCGGCUAACUCCGUGCCAGCAGCCGCGGUAAUACGGAGGAUCCGAGCGUUAUCCGGAUUUAUUGGGUUUAAAGGGUGCGUAGGUGGUUUGAUAAGUCAGCGGUGAAAGUUUGCAGCUUAACUGUAAAAAUGCCGUUGAAACUGUCGGACUUGAGUGUAAAUGAGGUAGGCGGAAUGCGUGGUGUAGCGGUGAAAUGCAUAGAUAUCACGCAGAACUCCGAUUGCGAAGGCAGCUUACUGGGAUGCAACUGACGCUCAUGCACGAAAGCGUGGGGAUCAAACAGGAUUAGAAACCCUUGUAGUCC
rnacentral:rRNA from 1 species